CAACAAUUGAAAAUUUACAAGAUGUUUACUGCAGAUACCAGAUACAUGCUACAAGGAUCAGAGAUAUAAUAUUAUAGCUGAUAUGAUCCUUUUUUUUCUCAUUAGAGCAGUAAAAAGUACUCCUUAUAUGAGUUAUCGGAUGCUUACUGGCAAUAACGGAGCCAGAAUAUGAAGGAAUAAACAUAUGAACAUUGACGAAAGGGCUUCAGAUGAACCCCUUCCUGUACCCUAGCUAGCUCCGCCCAUGUUUACUAGUGUCAUCUAGAGGUCAAAACUGUGGCUGUUGAAAUGGAAAAUAGCCUGACGACCUCUUCUCUUCAAGUUCUGGCUUCUGCAUUCUUUAGCAAUACUGGACUGAAGAGUAGGAGGACCACACACAAUUACACCAAUAUCUACACUUCCCCAGCUCUUUGCAUGUGAUCCAAAUAUCUCUUGGAAAUCAGGUCUUUGACCAUAUCGAAUAUUAUUAACAUAUCGAGCCUCUCCAAAGUUACUGUCUAAAGAGGCUUCAUUCUGCUGCAAGAUGUCAGCUUUCUUUGUGGCGUCCUGUGGUUCCUCCUUCGAUGAGGUUUUCCUCUCCCAAAGAUGCCAUAAAGCGAUAACGAAACCCCCAAAUAUAAGAAUACUUGCAGUCAUGCAUCCAAUCAACAAAAGCCCCUUGUACCACCAGUAAGUUAUAUUGAAUGGAUUUAUGUAGAAAAUGUCCAGCAAUGCUACAGUGAUCACAAACCCUAUGGUGGAUACUAUGACAUAUAAUCCAGACCAUACGACAUGUCCAGUACCAACCAAACCAGACAUUCGACAUCCUUUGAAGCCAG
rnacentral:misc_RNA from 1 species